ACUGGUGGGCUGGAGUCCCAGGGGGAGAUUAUUCCAAGUAGGGGCUCCAGAAAGUGGCCAGAUAGUGUGAGUGGCUCCGGCAGACUCUUCUCUGUGCAAGAGCCAGGAAGGCUCUAGAAAGGAAUGUCUGAGGAAGCAUCGGAGACUGGGUCCCGCCAUGCCUGUGUCAUCUCCUGGCUUCCCCGGCCCUUAUGGCUCGUUCGGAACACCACCUGGAUACGGCUGU
rnacentral:sRNA from 1 species